UACGUAGGGCGCAAGCGUUGUCCGGAAUUAUUGGGCGUAAAGAGCUCGUAGGCGGCCUGUGCGUCCGCUGUGAAAUCCCGGGGCUCAACCCCGGGCGUGCAGUGGAUACGGGUCGUGCUGGAGGCAGGCAGGGGAGAACGGAAUUCCUGGUGUAGCGGUGAGAUGCGCAGAUAUCAGGAGGAACACCGGUGGCGAAGGCGGGUCUCUGGGCAGUAACUGACGCUGAGGAGCGAAAGCGUGGGGAGCGAACAGG
rnacentral:rRNA from 1 species